UACGUAGGGCGCAAGCGUUAUCCGGAAUUAUUGGGCGUAAAGAGCUCGUAGGCGGUUUGUCGCGUCUGCUGUGAAAACCCGAGGCUCAACCUCGGGCCUGCAGUGGGUACGGGCAGACUAGAGUGCGGUAGGGGAGAUUGGAAUUCCUGGUGUAGCGGUGGAAUGCCCAGAUAUCAGGAGGAACACCGAUGGCGAAGGCAGAUCUCUGGGCCGUAACUGACGCUGAGGAGCGGAAGCGUGGGGAGCGAACAGG
rnacentral:rRNA from 1 species